rnacentral:rRNA from 1 species
UACGUAGGGCGCAAGCGUUGUCCGGAAUUAUUGGGCGUAAAGAGCUCGUAGGCGGCUUGUCACGUCGGGUGUGAAAGCCCGGGGCUUAACCCCGGGUCUGCAUUCGAUACGGGCAGGCUAGAGUGUGGUAGGGGAGAUCGGAAUUCCUGGUGUAGCGGUGGAAUGCGCAGAUAUCAGGAGGAACACCGAUGGCGAAGGCAGAUCUCUGGGCCGUAACUGACGCUGAGGAGCGAAAGCAUGGGGAGCGAACAGG